CUGCUUCUCGUGCCCUCCCUGCACUUGGCCGCCGCUGUUCCGUGCCGGCAGCCUGGGGACUGGGAGCGCUCGUGCCUUGGGUACGCUGCCCCACUGGCUAGAUGCAGCAGCGCGUAGAUGUGCCCGUGGGGCCUUGCCCCGGGCAUCGCUGCUGCUGCCGCCAGCGCCCUUCGCCCGUGCCUCGGCACGGCGCCUAUGCUCACUUCCUGCAGGAGUCUGCUGGAUACCUGCAGCUGGAGCGCAGAAGGAGAGAUUUCAGCUCCUCUGGGAGUAGGAAGCUCUCCUUUGACACUUGUGCCUUAGUGUGCUUUCUGGAAGACCAUGGGUUUGCUACUCAGCAAGCAAAAAUCGUAGUGUCUGCAUUGGUCAAGGUCCUGGAGGCCAACAUGGACAUCGUCUACAAAGAUAUGGCCACCAAGAUGCAGCAGGAGAUCGCUCUUCAGCAAAUAAUGUCUCAGACUGUGAAUGUGAAAAAGAAUAUGAUUAUUUUGGAGAAGAGUGAAUUUUCAGCCCUCAGAGCAGAACAUGAGAAAAUAAAACUCAAACUACAUCAGUUAAAACAAGUAAUGGAUGAAGUGAUUAAAGUCCGAACAGAUACUAAAUUAGACUUCACCCUAGAAAAGAGCAGAGUAAAAGAAUUGUAUUCGUUGAAUGAAAGGAAGCUGCUGGAAUCGAGAACAGAAAUAGUGACAUUGCAUGCCCAGCAAGAUCGGGCCGUCACCCAGAGAGGUAGGAAGAUAGAAACUCAGGUUGCUGGCCCCAAAACCAUGCUUGAGUCACACAAGCUUGAUAAUAUUAAAUAUUUAGCAGGGUCUAUAUUUACAUGCCUAACAGUAGCUCUGGGAUUUUAUCACCUGCGGAUCUAAUAAAGUGUCUAUUUAAAGA